rnacentral:rRNA from 1 species
CCUACGGGGGGCAGCAGUUGGGAAUAUUGGACAAUGGGGGCAACCCUGAUCCAGCCAUGCCGCGUGUGUGAAGAAGGCCCUCGGGUUGUAAAGCACUUUCAGUGAGGAAGAACGCCUGGUGGUUAAUACCCAUCAGGAAAGACAUCACUCACAGAAGAAGCACCGGCUAACUCCGUGCCAGCAGCCGCGGUAAUACGGAGGGUGCGAGCGUUAAUCGGAAUUACUGGGCGUAAAGCGCGCGUAGGUGGCUUGAUAAGCCGGUUGUGAAAGCCCCGGGCUCAACCUGGGAACGGCAUCCGGAACUGUCAAGCUAGAGUGCAGGAGAGGAAGGUAGAAUUCCCGGUGUAGCGGUGAAAUGCGUAGAGAUCGGGAGGAAUACCAGUGGCGAAGGCGGCCUUCUGGACUGACACUGACACUGAGGUGCGAAAGCGUGGGUAGCAAACAGGAUUAGAUACCCGGGUAGUC